UCCCAUAUUACAGACUUGAGACUGUCCUCAUUCCCAUAUGUAAUAGACAUCCAAAGAAUUUCAAUUGCUUUGUUGAACUUUUACUAAUGAUCUUGUUUUUAUUUUCUCUCUUGUUUUUGGUUUUUCACCAUUGAUAUUGUAUUUAGAAGGUUUCAGGUGGGUGAAACCUCCUAUUCCAUGCGUAAGGUGCCUCGCUGAAGGGAGCUCGAGGCCUGGAUCUAGGGCAGACACACAACCUCCUCCUCCUCUUCCAGCAAGGAACGCACCGAAAAGUCACAUGAUGAGAAAUAUGGUAACGGGUUUGUAACUGCCACAGCAAAACAAUUUGCCUCCAUGCCUGAAUCUUCUGUCUUGUGGCUUCAGAAACAGCUUAAAAUAAUUUUAUUUACAAGCAAG
rnacentral:lncRNA from 1 species